GGUUUGGGAAGUAAAAAAUCGUAACAAGGUCUCCGUUGGUGAACCAGCGGAGGGAUCAUUACAGAGUUAUCCAACUCCAAACCCAUGUGAACUUAUCUCUUUGUUGCCUCGGCGCAAGCUACCCGGGACCUCGCGCCCCGGGGGGCCCGCCGGCGGACAAACCAAACUCUGUUAUCUUCGUUGAUUAUCUGAGUGUCUUAUUUAAUAAGUCAAAACUUUCAACAACGGAUCUCUUGGUUCUGGCAUCGAUGAAGAACGCAGCGAAAUGCGAUAAGUAAUGUGAAUUGCAGAAUUCAGUGAAUCAUCGAAUCUUUGAACGCACAUUGCGCCCAUUAGUAUUCUAGUGGGCAUGCCUGUUCGAGCGUCAUUUCAACCCCUAAGCACAGCUUAUUGUUGGGACUCUACGGCUUCGUAGUUCCCCAAAGACAUUGGCGGAGUGGCAGCAGUCCUCUGAGCGUAGUAAUUCUUUAUCUCGCUUUUGUUAGGCGCUGCCCCCCCGGCCGUAAAACCCCCAAUUUUUUCUGGUUGACCUCGGAUCAGGUAGGAAUACCCGCUGAACUUAAGCAUAUCAAUAAGCGGAGGAA
rnacentral:rRNA from 1 species